AUUUGUCUGUCUUUAAGAAACCUGCAAAAACGACUCAUUUCCUCAUUCUACUGCAGGAGGGAGAGGGCUGGAAUUAAAUAAGACUCCAUCAUCUUCAGCAGGAGAAAGGGGUGUUCACCACUGGUGGAAAACAAGAGCUAACCAAUCAA